GGGUGUUGCUCCAUGAGCAGCUCCAGGUGUGUAAAAUCUCCCAUCUAUUAAGCCAUUGGGGUCUCUCUCUGUCUCUGGACUCUUUGGGCAACUCAAAGCUUGCAGGCCUGUGGGGUGUGGCCAAACAUACAUAUAUACUGCUGUACCCACCAGUUAAUCCCUACAUUGUUACAGAAAUAGAAUAGCUACCUCUCUUUGCUGAUUUAUUUUUUCCCCAUUCAUAGCUUCUCUUUAAAGCUACAUUUGAUGUUUACUUUUUCAAAAAAAUUUUUUCUACACCUUUGCGUCUUUCCAUCAGUGGCUUCCACCUUGUUUGGCAAAUUAUCCUUCAAUUGAUGGUUGAUUGCUAGUCACACUAGGUGCUCAUCUUGGUGUCCAUCUCCAGGCCACUCACAGUAACAAUGUUUGAGAAGACAGGGGCCUGUGGCACCAGCUAAUGACCGUAUAUAUCUGUAAGUCCUCCCCACCCCCACCUUCGAAAUGAAGGUUUGUGGAGCAGCCUGCCCGAUGUACGCAUAAGUAUGACUUCAUAUACCUGUGACCACACACACUUCUACAUUGUCUGCUUUCUUUUUCCAAGAGCAAGUUUUUCAGUCAGUAUGAAGUCAAUUUUAUUACCUUGCAUUGUUUUUAGGACUUGAAUUCCUCCUAGCUGGAAAAUGCUAGAAGCUUUAAAAACUUGGUGUAUUCUUUAAAGUAUUGUGUUAAAGCCUUUUUCCUCCCUUUGUUGUGGGCAUGUGAGCCAGCAGAGUAAGUAGGCUGCAUACCCACUAUGUGUUUAUCAUGUUUUUGAUGUUCAACUAUUUGAUAAUCAAAAUAUUUUGAUACUUAACGCAUGCCUUCUUCAGGAUGACCAUUUUUAUAGGCAAUAUGAAAAGACGUUGAUGGUAGAAAAUUUCAGAUUGACUUCUUAGAGGAUUUCAGAUCCCGGACAACUAUCUCUAUGCUUUCAUUCUUGAUAAAAGCUUACUGUUCUCUGAAUAUAGAAAAUACCUUGUUAGAAUUUAGCGUAAUGGAGAUUCUGCAGAGGCAAUUUUUGCCUGUAUGAAAAUUUUUACUUAAAGUCAUUAGGAAAUGGUAGACCCACUCUUCUAGACCCACUCUGCUUCAAGAUCUGUGGAACAAAACCCUAUAUUGGUCAUAUAAGAAAAUGUCCUUAUGCAUAGGAAAUACAUGCUAAAGGGUUAGAGAUAAGGGAAUACGAUAUCUGCAACUUGCUCUCAAAUGGGUAGAGUAACUGGCCUAUAGACAUACAGUGAAAUUAGGCCUACAAGUAGUUUUAAAUACACCACUAGCCGCAUUAAAAAGAAAAAAUGAGGGAGUUCCCAUCAUGGCUCAGUGGUUAACGAAUCUGACUGGUGUCCAUGAAGACGUGGGUUUGAUUCCUGACCUCGCUCAGUGAGUGGGUUAAGGAUCCAGCUUUGCCUUGAGCUGUGGUGUAUGUAGGUCACAGAUGAGGUUCAGAGCCUGCAUUGCUGUGGCUAUGGUGUAGGCCAGCAGCUACAGCUCUGAUUAGACCCCUAGCCUGGGAAUCUCCAUACGCCAUGGGUGUGGCCCUAAAA
rnacentral:lncRNA from 1 species